rnacentral:rRNA from 1 species
UGCAGUCGAGCGAGGACCACCUGGUGGCAACACCGGGUGACUCCUAGCGGCGAACGGGUGAGUAACACGUGGGCAACCUACCCCCGACUCUGGGAUAAGCCCGGGAAACUGGGUCUAAUACCGGAUACGAGCCUCCUCCGCAUGGUGGAGGUUGGAAAGGGUCUCCGGUCGGGGAUGGGCCCGCGGCCUAUCAGCUUGUUGGUGGGGUAACGGCCCACCAAGGCGACGACGGGUAGCCGGCCUGAGAGGGUGAACGGCUACACUGGGACUGAGACACGGCCCAGACUCCUACGGGAGGCAGCAGUAGGGAAUCUUGCGCAAUGGGCGAAAGCCUGACGCAGCGACGCCGCGUGCGGGACGAAGGCCCUCGGGUUGUAAACCGCCUUCAGCAGGGACGAAGCGAAAGUGACGGUACCUGCAGAAGAAGGUCCGGCCAACUACGUGCCAGCAGCCGCGGUAAUACGUAGGGACCGAGCGUUGUCCGGAUUCAUUGGGCGUAAAGAGCUCGUAGGCGGCCACUCAAGUCGAAUGUGAAACCUCGAGGCUCAACCUCGAGCCUGCAUUCGAUACUGGGCGGCUAGAGUCUGGUAGGGGGAUCUGGAAUUCCUGGUGUAGCGGUGGAAUGCGCAGAUAUCA